CUCCCAGCCCGGCCGGUAUUGGGCCACAAUCCGCGUGGUUACACAGGUGUUGGGUCCCCGGGGGUUAAACACCGGCCCACGUCUAAAACGCGUUCGGUUAAACCGCGCCGGUUUUCUACACCGUCGGGUUUUGCCCCAAACCUCUCCAUUCGACCGGUUUUUAGAAACACGAGGGUCGACCCGUGGAUUUCAUCCCGAGCGACGCGAGCGAUACGAGCUUCCACGACACAGCGACAACGGCGGCGGCGGCGGCGGCUUGACCGGAGGGGACGGUGGCCGGCUGGACGAGAGCAACUCCACCACACACGCUUCCCUUCCUCGACGCUGAAGCCGCCACGGAGGCCGACCGAGGAUCUCCGGCAUCUCCUUCUUCCCCGCCUCCGGCAUCUCCUUCUUCCCCGCCUCCGGCGCCGGCCUGCAGAAGGUACAUGAUAGAGGGAAAAGAGCUAGAGUUCUACAUGAAGAAGCUCCAGAAAAAGAUGGACAUUGGAUCAGUUUCUGUGUCUUUACUGCGGAGAAGCAAAAUAUUUAUUUGCUGGAUUUUGUUGUUUUUCCUCUUAAAAUUCGGAUGGAUCCAAAAGACUGUUGAUCUUUUUUACUAUCAACUAUUUAAGUACAACUACGUAGUAUUAAAAUCAUAUUGUUCUUGCGUAGUUAAAGUUGGUGCCUUGUUUUCUUCUGUUUGUAGUAUUAAAAUCAUAUUGUUCUUGCGUAGUAUUAAAAUCAUAUUGUUUGCGUAGUUAAUUUGUGAAGAAUUGUAAUUGUAUGGGCUUUUUUUUAUAAAAUUACAUCUGUACAGAUUGCUACUAUUCAACACUAGCGGCCAGUUCACGU